rnacentral:rRNA from 1 species
CCUACGGGGGGCAGCAGUGAGGAAUAUUGGUCAAUGGGCGCGAGCCUGAACCAGCCAAGUAGCGUGAAGGAUGACUGCCCUACGGGUUGUAAACUUCUUUUAUAAAGGAAUAAAGUGAGGCACGUGUGCCUUUUUGUAUGUACUUUAUGAAUAAGGAUCGGCUAACUCCGUGCCAGCAGCCGCGGUAAUACGGAGGAUUCGAGCGUUAUCCGGAUUUAUUGGGUUUAAAGGGAGCGUAGAUGGGUUGUUAAGUCAGUUGUGAAAGUUUGCGGCUCAACCGUAAAAUUGCAAUUGAUACUGGCAGCCUUGAGUACGGUUGAGGUAGGCGGAAUGCGUGGUGUAGCGGUGAAAUGCAUAGAUAUCACGCAGAACUCCGAUUGCGAAGGCAGCUUACUAAACUGCCACUGACAUUGAUGCUCGAAAGUGUGGGUAUCAAACAGGAUUAGAUACCCUAGUAGUC